rnacentral:hammerhead_ribozyme from 1 species
AUCUAACUGAAGAGUCGCAAAUAGGACGAAACGCGCGUCCUGGAC